AUGAUGAUUUAAUAUCUCGAAGAGUGAACACAAGCGAUGCUGAGAAAUUAGCUGAACUUUGUCCGUGUUGUUGUGCUGGUAUUUUUUGGGGAGUUCUCUGGGGAAUGAUAUCAUUUGUUUUUCUUUGUGGAGCUAUGUACCUUGGACUUGUCCUUUUAUCUUGAGGUUCAUUCGAAUGGGUUUAAGGUCCUUACAAUAUGGCAGAGCAAACUUGUCGUCUCAUCUUUCUUUUUAUUCUUUAAAUGGCUGUUGUAUAGCAUUCACCAACAUUAGAUGCGACAUUCAUUUUUGUCCAGGGGUGCUCUUAUCAUAAACCUGGCCACAUUUGUUUUACCCUUCUUAGAAGGGAUUAGUACAGUUAUGACUUACUUUUGUAUAGCAAAAUC